rnacentral:rRNA from 1 species
CCUACGGGUGGCAGCAGUGAGGAAUAUUGGUCAAUGGACGCAAGUCUGAACCAGCCAUGCCGCGUGCAGGAAGACGGCUCUAUGAGUUGUAAACUGCUUUUGUACGAGGGUAAACGCAGAUACGCGGAUCGGUCCGAAAGUAACGUACGAAUAAGGAUCGGCGAACUCCGUGCCAGCAGCCGCGGUAAUACGGAUGAUUCAAGCGUUAUCCGGAUUUAUUGGGUUUAAAGGGUGUGUAGGCGGUCGGAUAAGUUAGAGGUGAAAUCCCGAGGCUCAACUUCGGAAUUGCCUCUGAUACUGUUCGGCUAGAGAGUAGUUGCGGUAGGCGGAAGGUAUGGUGUAGCGGUGAAAUGCUUAGAGAUCAUACAGAACCCCGAUUGCGAAGGCAGCAUACCAAGCUACUUCUGACGUUGAGGCACGAAAGCGUGGGGAGCAAACAGGAUUAGAUACCCCAGUAGUC